rnacentral:rRNA from 1 species
UACGUAGGGUGCAAGCGUUAAUCGGAACUACUGGGCGUAAAGCGUGCGCAGGCGGUUUUGUAAGUCUGUCGUGAAAUCCCCGGGCUCAACCUGGGAAUUGCGAUGGAGACUGCAAGGCUAGAAUCUGGCAGAGGGGGGUAGAAUUCCACGUGUAGCAGUGAAAUGCGUAGAGAUGUGGAGGAACACCGAUGGCGAAGGCAGCCCCCUGGGUCAAGAUUGACGCUCAUGCACGAAAGCGUGGGGAGCAAACAGG